AUUUUCGAAAAAGCACGGUAGACGUUUACAGUCGUCAAUUUAAAUAAGAGUCACACACUCGAGAAGAUGUGUAGUGAGAAGAAACUUGGAAUAUUUGUGCUCUCAAUGGUAUCCGAAAUUAUCGACCUCUUUUUGGAUUGGGAUUUUUUUUACGAAGUCAGCAAAUCAUCUUUUAUUGAAAAGAACGUAAAAAGCGCUAUUCAAGGUUUUGCUAUUUUGGGAACAGUUUUAUUUGUUUUUACAUUCAUAAGCCAGUCGUGUGAUGCGUGCAGCGAUGAUGAAGAAGAAAAUGACUGUACACCGACGCUUUCAUUAAUUUCCACUACACUUGAAGAUUUUCCUCAAAUAAUUUUAGCAGUUAUUGUUGCUGUGAACACUUCUGAACUGAUUUCGUGGGUUCAAAUUUUAAAGGCACUGUAUGGAAUUGUUGAGCCUGCAAUACGAAUAUCUAAAAUUUCAUCAGAAUUGGAAAAAAGCAGACAGAACUUCAGAGAGCCACCAUGUGUAUGUGCGAAAUUCAGUGAUCGGCUUUUUAGCGGAAUAAUUCUGGUGUGCUCAUUUGGACUUCUCCUUGAACUUGUUUUUGACUUUUUUCAUUAAAAAGUAUUUUAUAAAUGCAAUGAAGAUUUUGAUAGCUCAGUAACUCAUAUAA